rnacentral:rRNA from 1 species
GAAACGGCUACCACAUCCAAGGAAGGCAGCAGGCGCGCAAAUUACCCACUCCCGGCACGGGGAGGUAGUGACGAAAAAUAACAAUACGGGACUCUUUUGAGACCCCGUAAUUGGAAUGAGUACACUCUAAAUCCUUUAACGAGGAUCUAUUGGAGGGCAAGUCUGGUGCCAGCAGCCGCGGUAAUUCCAGCUCCAAUAGCGUAUAUUAAAGUUGUUGCGGUUAAAAAGCUCGUAGUUGGAUCUCAGUUCCAGACGGGCGGUCCGCCUAACGGUGGUUACUGCCUGGCCUGAACAGCCAGCCGGUUUCCCUAGAUGAUCUUCACCGGUUGUCUUGGGUGACCGGCACGUUUACUUUGAAAAAAUUAGAGUGCUCAAAGCAGGCGUGUAGCCUGAAUAAUGGUGCAUGGAAUAAUGGAAUAGGACUUCGUUUCUAUUUUGUUGGUUUUCGGAACACGAGGUAAUGAUUAAGAGGGACAGACGGGGGCAUUCGUAUUGCGACGCUAGAGGUGAAAUUCUUGGACCGUCGCAAGACGAACUA